rnacentral:misc_RNA from 1 species
UCCGGUUUGUCACCGGCAGUCUCCUUAGAGUGCCCAACUAAAUGCUGGCAACUAAGGACAAGGGUUGCGCUCGUUGCGGGACUUAACCCAACAUCUCACGACACGAGCUGACGACAACCAUGCACCACCUGUCACUCUUGUCCCCGAAGGGAAAGCCCUAUCUCUAGGGAAGGCAAGAGGAUGUCAAGGCCUGGUAAGGUUCUUCGCGUUGCUUCGAAUUAAACCACAUGCUCCACCGCUUGUGCGGGCCCCCGUCAAUUCCUUUGAGUUUCAGCCUUGCGGCCGUACUCCCCAGGCGGAGUGCUUAAUGCGUUUGCUGCAGCACUAAAGGGCGGAAACCCUCUAACACUUAGCACUCAUCGUUUACGGCGUGGACUAC